GCUGCUCCUAGUACGAGAGGACCGGAGUGGACGCACCGCUAGUGUACCUGUUGUGUGGUCGCAUGCAUCGCAGGGUAGCUAUGUGCGGAAGUGAUAAGCCGCUGAACGCAUCUAAGCGCGAAGCACGCUCCAAGAUAAGUAUUCCCUAUGAGCCUCCUGGAAGACGACCAGGUAGAUAGGCGGCAGGUGUACGCAUGGUGACAUGUUUAGCCG
rnacentral:rRNA from 1 species